CCAGGCCGGACCGCUGGACCCGUGCAGAGGGGAGCCCACGUGACGUGGUUUAGCCCCAGCCGGCAGCUGGGUGCCACGCGCCGCUCACCCACCCCUCCCCCGGCGGGCUGGGGAAGAGAACGGAAAAACAACGGCAAAGCCUCGAGGGUUGGGAGAAGGGCAGUUUACUGGGACAGCAAGGGAGAGGGAAACAAUCAACAACAGUACUGAUAACAGAUAUUCACAAUGGGUGAUAACAAAGAACAAUUUACCGAUCCGACCGGACGCUCAGCCUGUCCCAGAGCCACACCAAACCCGCCCCUGCCCGACCAGCCCCCUUUUAUGGUGAGCAUGAUGUCACACGGUAUGGAAUAGCCCCCGGCCAGCUUGGGUCACCUGUCCUGGCUCUUUGUGAAAUUAACUCUGUCCUUGCCAGAACCAGGACACCACGCCAGGGCAGGAUUGCUGGCAGGACUUGUGACCCCGUGGGGGACCCCACGCUGGAGCAGUUUGCUCCUGAAGGUCUGCACCCCGUGAGAGGGACUCCAUGCUGGAGCAGGGGAACGAUGAGAGGAGUCCUCCCCCUGAGGCUGAAGAGGCGGCAGAAACACCGUUCAGGUGAAUCCCAAAUACAUCGUCCUGGACUCGGACUUCACCAACAACGUGGUGAGGUGCAACAUCCAUUACACCGGGCGCUACGUCGCCACGACAAACUGCAAGAUUUCCCAAUCUUGAUGGGAGCGGGGCUGGAGGGACGUCACCUGCCCCAACCCCUGUCCCCCCCUCGAGAAAGUGCCUCAGCUGGCUCCUCUGGCCCACGGGAGACCCCGGAGCCCAUCAGCAGCUCCUCCACACCCCCCCGCCCCCAAAACCCCCACCAUUUCUUUACGUUCAAAGGAGGGGAAGCGAGAAUGACUCCUUGAAAUAUUUUUUUAUACUUAACUUUUCUUUAACCUUUGGUUUUUUGGGGUUUUGGUUGUUUUUUUUUCUUUAAUUUCCUAAGGGAAACCGAUGCUAAGUUUUAGCCGGAAUAAAGGCCGGGGCCCGUAAAUGCUGUAUAAAUGCUGUAAAUCACAUAUUAGCAAUAGUAGCCUUUAACCCCUUCGGCAUUAUUUUUUUUUUUUUGCGGGGGGGGGAGCGGGAGAGGAAAGAAGACAGCCUGGGGUGAAGAAGACACCCCGGAUUUGGAGGUGCUGCCCCGGUAGGGAUGCUCGACUCCUCGAUGCUCUGGGAUGCUCCGGUUGUUUUGGGGGCCGAAGGUGCUGGAAAUCCCAUCGCCCUACGGGGGGGGCUUGCUCCCUCUGUUCGGCCUGUAAAAAUAGGAAGGGAGCCCUUGAGAUGA